UACGUAGGGACCGAGCGUUGUCCGGAUUCAUUGGGCGUAAAGAGCUCGUAGGCGGCUGCUCAAGUCGAAUGUGAAAACUCGAGGCUCAACCUCGAGCCUGCAUUCGAUACUGGGCGGCUAGAGUCUGGUAGGGGGAUCUGGAAUUCCUGGUGUAGCGGUGGAAUGCGCAGAUAUCAGGAGGAACACCGGUGGCGAAGGCGGGAUCCUGGGCCAGUACUGACGCUGAGGAGCGAAAGCCAGGGGAGCAAACGGG
rnacentral:rRNA from 1 species